UUCUUAAAGAAUGUACUAACCAACCUCAGGACUGCAAUUAGGUUCUACCAAGGAGAGGAAUGACAUCAGAGAAGGAGCCAUCUGUUUCCUGCUGAGCCCCCAACAGAGACACUUUCCAAUCAAGAAUGUACUGCAGCGAAUUCAAGAAGUACCAGUGUGGAACAUUAUAAGUGCCUCUGGGAGCAUCAACAGAAUAUUCAACAGAAUUUUCAUUUGUGAAUAUGGCUCGCACCAACAAAGGCUCCCUGUGAAUGAACUUCUCGAGUUUUUCUCAGUCAACCCAAUCUAAGGUUUGAAUCUCAUCAAGAUUCCUAGUGGAGAAGUAAAUGUAUCCAAGUUGAAAUAUCGCCACACUGAAGAGUCGAGAGUGGUGUCAGUAAGCAGAACAAAACGGUUCCUCUGCUCCCUUCAACUUAGUCUCCUGUUACUGAAACCGUCAUGACUUUUAUGUAAAUGUCAGAAAAUUUAGUAAAUAGGAGGUCAGACAGCACCUCUAAAGAUGUACAAU
rnacentral:lncRNA from 1 species